UACGAAGGGGGCUAGCGUUGUUCGGAAUUACUGGGCGUAAAGCGCGUGUAGGCGGGUCUUUAAGUCAGGGGUGAAAUGCCAAGGCUCAACCUUGGAACUGCCUUUGAUACUGGAGACCUUGAGUCCGGGAGAGGUGAGUGGAAUUGCGAGUAUAGAGGUGAAAUUCGUCGAUAUUCGCAAGAACACCAGUGGCGAAGGCGGCUCACUGGCCCGGAACUGACGCUGAGACGCGAAAGCGUGGGGAGCAAACAGG
rnacentral:rRNA from 1 species